rnacentral:lncRNA from 1 species
UCUCUCUCUCGCUCUCUCUCUCUCUCUCUCUCUCUCUCUCUCUCUUUGUUGACUUUCCCUCUCCCUUCUCUCUAGAACAUUCUGGUGCUCUCUUCUUCUCCGAUGAACCCUACCACCUCUCCGGCCACCUCCAGCCUCAACUAUUUCGACCACCAGUCACCGUGAAGAUUUACCUCGUUUAUUCCCUAUAUCUUUGAGGCCCCAGGAGCCUCCACCAUGUGAGAUGGUCACUGAAGGUUUGUUCUGGUUAGUUUCCUGCUUUUCUCCGAUGGAUUUUGGUCAGAUGGUGCCGUGGACACCAUUAUUGCUGAGUUUCAUAGCCAGGUUUCUUUUAUCUCUUACUGGUUUCUUAUGAAACCCUAAUCUCUACCAAACCUCUCAAAUCUCUGUAGUUUUUACUAUUAUUUAACUCACACCUUUGUAUUUUACACUACUCUCUACUCGAUCUUUACGAUUGUUUAAAUUUUAAACGUUUUGUUCGCCUUUUGAAACUAGGGUUUGUGAACCCCUUUUAAAAAUCACUUUAUUUCCUGAUUUUUUGAGUAGUGACUCAUGAUUCUCAGUACUAUUUUAAAUGUUUUUGUUAAGUUUGAUGAAACACUAACUUUGUAUGAUUGUGUUUGCAUAUUUGCAUGUUUGUGUGUUCUUUUGGGUUCUUCUCCGAGUUCCAUGCUCUUUGCUUUAGAUUUGUUGUUAUUGUUUUAUUCCCCUACCAUUCUGUGUUCUUUGCUUAAAGCUUCUAUGAUUGAGCCCUCUUUGAGAUUGUGAUACUUUCUUUGAAAUUGAGAUUAUGCGUAUUUUCCCAAUAGUUUGAAUUGCUUCUUUAAAUUGUGGGUUACUUUCCUUGAUUAAUACUGAUUUCCCAGGUCUUCAAUCUCAUUCAUUAUUUUGAAAAUCAUUUCCCUGAAUAACAUUGGUAUUUUGACUUAUAUAUGUGCACAAAUUUGUUGAUUGAUUUGCCUGACCUAUUUCCCUAAAUAGAGUGCCAUGUACCUAGUCUUUAUUAAGUACUAUAUAUUAUUCGAUUUUUUUAUGUGAUUAUACCCUACUUUGUGAUUUCUUUCCUUUUGAAUGACAAAUUUUUAUCAUUUAAUUUUGAUUCCUUAAUUAAAGGGGAGUCUACAUACUAAUUUGAUUAUGAUUGAAGCCAGUUCCUUAAUUAAAGGAUUACUGCGUUAUUGUUUACUUGUAUUCAUUACUAUAAAUAAAUCCCACCCCCAUUCUCGUUUGCAAACACACAACAAUCUUCUGACUUACACCCACC